AGUUUUAUGAAGUAGUAUAAAAUGAAUUCUGCCCAAUGAUAUAAUUUUUAAUGGCCGCAGUACUUUAACUGUGCUAAGGUAGCAUAAUAAUUUGGCUUUUAAUUAAGGUCUGGUAUGAAAGGAUUUUAUGGGUAAUAACUGUCUUUAUUUAACUUUUAAAAAUUUACUUAAAAGGUGAAAAUUCCUUUAAUUUUAAAAUAGACGAGAAGACCCUAGGAGUUUUUGUUUUGUUGGGGCGACAUUUUAGUAAAUAACCUAAAGGAUAGAUUUAACAGUUAUAUCAAUUAUAAAUAAACUACCCUAGGGAUAACAGCAUAAUAAUAAUUUUGUUUGUGACCUCGAUGUUGGACUAGG
rnacentral:rRNA from 1 species